rnacentral:lncRNA from 1 species
GAACACAACAAUAUGUAUGUGCUAAGAAAGCCAAAGCCACCAUGACCACAUGAAUUUCCUCAGUGGGAUCACUUACCUGUUGGAUCACAGACCACACUUGACCUGGAAUUACACUGACAAUUUUGGUAUGGUUGGAGCUACCCCUGUGGUAAAGAUACUUAAGGGAUUACAUUAUACUCUUAAUUUUACUUUUCCUCUAAGUCUCUGGCAAUGAGAUACAUAGCUACUAGAAAGGAAAGGUGAGGAGGAAACUGUCAGCUGAUAGAGCAGCUCAUCACUGAUUUGUUUUAGAGCCUAGAGUGCACUCACCUCAGCCCCUCCUCCUUUUUCCUCCACAAAGGUCCCUCUCCUUCCAGAAAAUUCCUCCUCCCCAAGCCAAGGACUGAUAAGGAAUGAGGCCAGAACAGCUGGUGCCUUGUUGUCUCAAGUGGAUUUUUGACAUGGUUAAGAUUUUUCAGCCUGGGUAACACUCAUUGAGCUUAUUAUGCCCCUCAUAACAAUAAGCCUCUUUAGGUACCUUCUCCCUGUUAAGAGGAGUGGGGUAGGGUGAGGUGGGGAACAUAUAAUAAGAAUCAGGUUCUCUCUCUCUCUGUCUCUAUUUCUCUCUAUCUAUCCCCUCUCCCAUCUUCAAGUUUAAUGUGGCUCAACCUAUGUUAGACAGGGCAUGACUCCAUUCCAGGAGCUAAAUGAAGGAAGCCAUGUGGUACAACUAAAAGGCAAAGAGAAAAGAACAGCUUAUGAUGGGGGAGCUAAGAGACCCCACCCCGGGCAACACUCCUCUGUGUUAUAAACAUCUAUCUGCCAAGGAGCCAUGAUGAAUGGAAGAUGGAGUCAGAAGGUCCAGAUCCAAGUGCUGCUCACUUCAUGGUCCUGGGAAAGCUCCUUCUCCUGUUGGGACCCCAGUUGUCUCCCUCUUAUAAGGUAAAGGGUCAGAGGGUUGGAGCAACUGAUGAGAUCUCAUAAAGACAAAUUCGUACUAAGUCACUCUAGGGUCCUGGGUCGAAUGCUGCUUGUGAGUUGAUGUUUCAGUCUGCCCUUGCCUCUUACUCUAACCAGGGGCUUGUCCUUGAUCCUUGAACCUCUUGCCAAGCCCAGUAGAGGUAAACCUCUGAUAUUACCUUGGGUGUGACCCCAGGCAGGCUUAUUAACAAACAACACUUCCUGUUUCUCCCACAGUGAGAAAGGAGGGGGGAGGCAAGGUCUGAAGAGAGCAGCAGGGGCCACACAGAGCACAGCCCUCGGCAGGGACAGUAAAAGCUCACUCAAGCUGAGUCAGUCCCUGUUUUUUCCUGUAAAAUGAUUCACAUGCUGAGGCAACUGGGCUUGAGAAGUACUAACUCUACUCUGCCUUUCAUGAGCUUCCAAAUGAGUUGGUGAUUUUUGUUUUUGUUUUUCCUAUUUGACUUCUCUUUCCUUGGGAACAUGAUUGCAGUGUUUUCCAUGUCAGGUUAAAACCCCUCCCCCUCCCCCAUUUAAUACCCUGAGGAAGAGGGUGAUCAAAUCAAAGAAACGCUGUGCUGAUACUCUUGAUUUUGAAUCUAUUUACAUGGCUGUUUUAAAUGUUAUUCAGAUUUCUUCAACUUCCUUGUGAUUUUGACUCAAGUAGGUUAAAAUAUAAAUAAACAAAAUUUCCUAACGUAUUAUAUACCAUGUUAUAUAAGAAGUCUGACCUCUUUAGAGAUCAAGCUCUAGGUGUGUGAAUUUUCCAUGUAUCUUAAAAGGUUUUUAACUGUAAACAUCCUAGACUUUUUUCAAUUAUUUUGAAUGGGAAUUCCUUUGGGGAUGUACAUAACAUUUUUCUUCAUAAUAAAACUCAACCUUUCCUUCAUUAUUUAUAGUCAUUCUUAGAUCUUGUAAACACUGCUAGCUACCACUUUGUCCUCUUCUUGUGUUGAAGUGAGGUCAGUUUUAGUUGAGGCCCAUGUUCUUCCAUGUUAUGCUUAAUCUUCAUGCAUAUCCAUAGCCAUAAUAUCCUUUUUAGCCAAGUAACUCAGAAACAGAUGGUUUUAUUAUCUGGAUAAUCUGGGUAGUGAUGACAUUCCCCUGCUAAGACCCUCCAGUAAAUUCUCACUGUAGUUAGAAUAUUAGCUAAAGUCCUUUCGAUGACCAACAGAGCCCCAUGUGGCUAAGCCCCUGCUUUUCUCACCAGCCAAUAUCCCCUUCAUCCACUGUGAUCCACACACAGGCUUCUUCUCUAUUCCUCCCAAGGCCCAAAUUGUCUCUUAUUCUUUGCACUUGCCAUUGCUACUUCCUGAAAGAUUCGUCCCUAAUUUUCAUCUGACUGCCUCCUCCUCCUUAUUUAGAUCUAAGAUCAAAUAUCACUUCCUCAGAGAAGCCAUAAUUGUCUCCUACACCAAGGAGGCUAGAACCAUUUCCUGCUUUAUUUUCAUCCCAUCAGUUAAAGUUAUUGGAUGCUUUAAUUUAUUUUUACUAUUUAUUAGUUGGUAUCAACAUUCAUUCUCUUUCAGGUUUGUUAUGCUCCAUGAGAGAAAGGCAUUUACUUGUUUUGCUCACUGCUAUGUCACAGUUUCCAAAACAGCUGCCAGAACAUAGGAGGCACUCAAUGAAUACUGUUGAAGGAAUAAGUCUUGGCUCAUCUCCAUCUAUCAUGGGGAGUUCUGGCUGCCUUUGUCUUAUUGCACAUUGAGUAAUCAGGACUGAAUUAUCAGUUACAGUGGUAUUCUCAGAUGACUGUUCAAACAAUAAAAAGCUGGUAAUGUCCAAUGCCAUUUGAUCCAAUUUUGAAAAGAGACAAAAAGAGCUAAGAGAAUGUUAAGGACACACUCUAAUUUCUUGGGUAGAUCUUUCCAAACUUUUCCAGCAAGAUAUAACUAAUAACCUGGAAGAGUGAAUAAUAAUACUUAGAGGAAGAUCUAAUCAAGAGUAUGAAGUGCCCCCCAAAGACCGUAUAUCUUUGAAGUCUCACAAUUUCUUUUUUAAAUCCAGAUGACUUUUGCAUUCUAAUCCAUUAGUAUAUAUCUGAGUCUGAUUUAAUAUAAAUGAAAUUUACUCUCAAAUUGGGGGGAAAAAAAGUGCCUCCAAGAUGUGUGUUGUUUACCCUGGAAAACAAACAAUUAUCCUCAAGUAUGUAUGGUCCAAGCUGAAAAUCAUCUGGAAAUUCUCCUGGAGAAGCCCUGAAGAGAGCAUAGCCCCCACUCACCUGCCCCCACCUUCGCCCCAGGGAGGAAGAGCUUUGGAGUAAAUACACCUAAGUGAACCAGGAGUCCUAAGAGGUAUCAUGUUUUGAGAAGGAAAAAAGUCUAGAAAUUCCACCUUUCUGCAUCACUCUUUUUGCAAACGAUUCUUUUAAAUCAUUGUGCAGCUACCUUUCUUAUCAUGUGCUUGGUGAGGUAAGAGGUACAAGUUCCCCUCACUCCUCAGGGGAGAGACCCUAAAGUGACCAUAUAACACAGUUUUCUCAGGACCAUCCUGGUUAUGAUUGUGGUUCUGGCAAUAUUAAUAGUGCUCCUUUUUCAAAUGUACAGUAUACAGUCACUUGAAAGGAUGCCUUCCCUAUUCUUCCCCUCUCUUAAAAGAACAAAAAGGAGUCAUACACAGAAGCUGUAAGUCUUCUUCCAGGCCAAUGUCAGGCCACAAAAGAAAAGGAGUCCUUGUGACUCAGAUCAGUUGUCCAUUUCAUACAUUAAGGGAAUCUCAAAAGCAUUCAGGAUCCAAACGCUGGUUCAUCGUAAUGAAGUGUUUUGUCUGAUGUAUUUGUGCAGUUAGAAAUCUAUUAUCAGGGAGUUCCUAUUGUGGCUCAGUGGUAACAAACCUGACCAGUAUCCAUGAAGAGGCAGGUUUGAUCCCUGGCCUCUCUCAGUGGGUUAAGGAUCUGGCGUUACUGUGAGCUGUGGCAUAGGUCACAGUAGCAGCUCAGAUCCCACAUUGUUGUGGCUGUGACAGAGGAGCAGUUGUAGCUCUGAUUGGACCCCUAGCCUGGGAACUUCCAUAUGCUGCACAUGCAGC